GCGGGAAUAGCUCAGUGGUAGAGCACGACCUUGCCAAGGUCGGGGUCGAGGGUUCGAAUCCCUUUUCCCGCUCCA
rnacentral:tRNA from 4 species